rnacentral:lncRNA from 1 species
GGGUCAUUUUGAAGAUUCAGCCUGAGAAUCGUUUUCCAGUGAUCCAGCCUGAGGGUCAUUUUGAAGAUUCAGCCUGAGAAUCGUUUUCCAGUGAUCCAGCCUGAGGGUCAUUUUGAAGAUUCAGCCUGAGAAUCGUGUUCCAGUGAUCCAGCCUGAGGGUCAUUUCGAAGAUUCAGCCUGAGAAUCGUGUUCCAGUGAUCCAGCCUGAGGGUCAUUUCG